rnacentral:rRNA from 1 species
CAGCCGCCGCGGGAAUACGAAGGGUGCAAGCGUUAAUCGGAAUUACUGGGCGUAAAGCGUGCGUAGGCGGCUUCUUAAGUCGGAUGUGAAAUCCCUGAGCUUAACUUAGGAAUUGCAUUCGAUACUGGGAAGCUAGAGUAUGGGAGAGGAUGGUAGAAUUCCAGGUGUAGCGGUGAAAUGCGUAGAGAUCUGGAGGAAUACCGAUGGCGAAGGCAGCCAUCUGGCCUAAUACUGACGCUGAGGUACGAAAGCAUGGGGAGCAAACAGGAUUAGAUACCCGUGUAGUCCCUGUCUCUUAUAC